rnacentral:rRNA from 1 species
GAACCAUCGAGUUUUUGAACGCAAGUUGCGCCCAAAGCCAUUAGGUUGAGGGCACGUCUGCCUGGGCGUCACAUAUCGUUGCCCUGUGCCCAAUGCCCUAUUGAUCGGCACCAGCGCAGGGCGAAUGUUGGCUUCCCGUGAGCAUUAUUGUCCCAUGGUUGGCUGAAAACUGAGUCCUUGGUAGGGUGUGUGCCAUGAUAGAUGGUGGUUGUGUGACCCACGAGACUAAUCAUGGCUGUGUUGAAAAGAUUUGACUUUUAACUCCAAUUGCGCCUUUUUUCUGUAAACAAGAAAACAGGGGAAGAUG